rnacentral:rRNA from 1 species
UGGAGGGCAAGUCUGGUGCCAGCAGCCGCGGUAAUUCCAGCUCCAAUAGCGUAUAUUAAAGUUGUUGCAGUUAAAAAGCUCGUAGUUGAACCUUGGGCCUGGCUGGCCGGUCCGCCUCACCGCGUGCACUGGUUCGGCCGGGCCUUUCCCUCUGGGGAACCCUAUGGUCUUCACUGAUCGUAGCGGGGAACCAGGACUUUUACUGUGAAAAAAUUAGAGUGUUCAAAGCAGGCCUAUGCUCGAAUACAUUAGCAUGGAAUAAUAAAAUAGGACGUGUGGUUCUAUUUUGUUGGUUUCUAGGACCGCCGUAAUGAUUAAUAGGGACAGUCGGGGGCAUCAGUAUUCAAUUGUCAGAGGUGAAAUUCUUGGAUUUAUUGAAGACUAACUACUGCGAAAGCAUUUGCCAAGGAUGUUUUCAUUAAUCAGGAACGAAAGUUAGGGGAUCGAAGACGAUCAGAUACCGUCGUAGUCUUAACCAUAAACUAUGCCGACUAGGGAUCGGACGGUGUUAUUUUUGACCCGUUCGGCGCCUUACGGGAAAC